UUGGGUUGUAAAGCUCUUUCGUCGGGGAAGAAAAUGACUGUACCCGAAUAAGAAGGUCCGGCUAACUUCGUGCCAGCAGCCGCGGUAAUACGAAGGGACCUAGCGUAGUUCGGAAUUACUGGGCUUAAAGAGUUCGUAGGUGGUUAAAAAAGUUGGUGGUGAAAUCCCAGAGCUUAACUCUGGAACUGCCAUCAAAACUUUUUAGCUAGAGUAUGAUAGAGGAAAGCAGAAUUUCUAGUGUAGAGGUGAAAUUCGUAGAUAUUAGAAAGAAUACCGAUUGCGAAGGCAGCUUUCUGGAUCAUUACUGACACUGAGGAACGAAAGCAUGGGUAGCGAAGAGGAUUAGAUACCCUCGUAGUCCAUGCCGUAAACGAUGUGUGUUAGACGUUGGAAAUUUAUUUUCAGUGUCGCAGCGAAAGCGAUAAACACACCGCCUGGGGAGUACGACCGCAAGGUUAAAACUCAAAUGAAUUGACGGGGACCCGCACAAGUAGUGGAGCAUGUGGUUUAAUUCGAAGAUACGCGCAGAACCUUACCAACACUUGACAUGUUCGUCGCGACUCUAAGAGAUUAGAGUUUUCGGUUCGGCCGGACGAAACACAGGUGCUGCAUGGCUGUCGUCAGCUCGUGUCGUGAGAUGUUGGGUUAAGUCCCGCAACGAGCGCAACCCUUACUUUUAGUUGCCAUCAUUUAGUUGGGCACUCUGAAAGAACUGCCAGUGAUAAGCUGGAGGAAGGUGGGGAUGACGUCAAGUCCUCAUGGCCCUUAUGUGUUGGGCUACACACGUGCUACAAUGGUAUCUACAACAGGAAGCAAGAUGGCAACGUUAAGCAAAUCCUAAAAAGAUACCUCAGUUCGGAUUGCACUCUGCAACUCGAGUGCAUGAAGCUGGAAUUACUAGUAAUCGUGGAUCAGCGUGCCACGGUGAAUACGUUCCCGGGUCUUGUACACACCGCCCGUCACACCAUGGGAGUUGG
rnacentral:rRNA from 1 species